GAGUUUGAUCAUGGCUCAGGAUGAACGCUGGCGGCGUGCUUAACACAUGCAAGUCGAACGAACCUUCGGGUUAGUGGCGGACGGGUGAGUAACGCGUGGGAAUCUGCCCUCAGGAGGGGGAUAACGGUUGGAAACGACCGCUAAUACCCCAUAUGCCGAGAGGUGAAAUGAAUUUCGCCUGAGGAUGAGCCCGCGUCUGAUUAGCUUGUUGGUGAGGUAAUGGCUCACCAAGGCUUCGAUCAGUAGCUGGUCUGAGAGGAUGAUCAGCCACACUGGGACUGAGACACGGCCCAGACUCCUACGGGAGGCAGCAGUGGGGAAUUUUCCGCAAUGGACGAAAGUCUGACGGAGCAACGCCGCGUGAGGGACGAAGGCCUCUGGGCUGUAAACCUCUUUUCUCAAGGAAGAAGAUAUGACGGUACUUGAGGAAUAAGCCACGGCUAAUUCCGUGCCAGCAGCCGCGGUAAUACGGGAGUGGCAAGCGUUAUCCGGAAUUAUUGGGCGUAAAGCGUCCGCAGGCGGCCUUUCAAGUCUGCUGUUAAAACGUGGAGCUCAACUCCAUCAUGGCAGUGGAAACUGAUAGGCUUGAGUAUGGUAGGGGCAGAGGGAAUUCCCGGUGUAGCGGUGAAAUGCGUAGAUAUCGGGAAGAACACCAGUGGCGAAGGCGCUCUGCUGGGCCAUUACUGACGCUCAUGGACGAAAGCCAGGGGAGCGAAAGGGAUUAGAUACCCCUGUAGUCCUGGCCGUAAACGAUGAACACUAGGUGUCGGGGGAAUCGACCCCUUCGGUGUCGUAGCUAACGCGUUAAGUGUUCCGCCUGGGGAGUACGCACGCAAGUGUGAAACUCAAAGGAAUUGACGGGGGCCCGCACAAGCGGUGGAGUAUGUGGUUUAAUUCGAUGCAACGCGAAGAACCUUACCAGGGCUUGACAUCCUGCGAACCUUUAAGAAAUUAGAGGGUGCCUUCGGGAACGCAGUGACAGGUGGUGCAUGGCUGUCGUCAGCUCGUGUCGUGAGAUGUUGGGUUAAGUCCCGCAACGAGCGCAACCCACGUUUUUAGUUGCCAGCAUUUAGUUGGGCACUCUAGAAAGACCGCCGGUGAUAAACCGGAGGAAGGUGUGGAUGACGUCAAGUCAUCAUGCCCCUUACGUCCUGGGCUACACACGUACUACAAUGCUACGGACAAAGGGCAGCAAACUCGCGAGAGCUAGCAAAUCCCAUAAACCGUGGCUCAGUUCAGAUCGUAGGCUGCAACUCGCCUACGUGAAGUAGGAAUCGCUAGUAAUCGCAGGUCAGCAUACUGCGGUGAAUACGUUCCCGGGCCUUGUACACACCGCCCGUCACACCAUGGAAGUUGGCCACGCCCGAAGUCGUUACUUUAACCCUUGUGGAGAAGGACGCCGAAGGUGGGGCUGAUGACUGGGGUGAAGUCGUAACAAGGUAACC
rnacentral:rRNA from 1 species